GGGCAAACGCUGCGAGCCGUCGGGUGAAUUAGCAGCAAAACGCAUUCUUCUGGAGGCAUAUCCGUACAGGGCCCUCCAUUAGACACGGGCUGUGUUUGCGAGACGACGGGAGCAACAUGAACACAGCCGGAGGAGGACGAGGGACGAAGAGAGAGUUCAGACCCGCAGAGCAGCGCAGGCUUCGGCACCAAGGAACUUCUUGGUGUCCGUGUCUCUACCGCUGCUGCCUCCUCACACACGCAUCUCUGAGUCAGUGUCGAGUUGCUCAGCAAAUCAUGGCAGCGGCGAAGCUGCUCGUCAAACCAGGAAUGUCCCAGCUCCACAGCUCACUACGGCUCCUGGAGAGGAGAGGGAGGGAGGGAGGGAGAGAGAAGGCAGGGGGGUGUUACCCAUAUACACUGUGCAUUAACAACUUUUACAAUCUAAUGAGAACAAAAAACAAACUUCCUCCUUCCUCCUCUGCGCAGCCGAGCUGUGUGACUUAUUGUUCCCAUGUAAAGGUGAAUGCACCUGAACGCAUCCUCGUCUUAGUUUAACUUCAUGAUCUCAUAGUGAGGCCUUUAUUAAUGGGGAUUCAUCAUCACACACACUGAUUUGUUUGGCUUGUUUUCUUGUGGAAGUGACAGAGAUUGUUCUUUUGUGUUCAAGGCACCCUCAGGCUUGAUUUAAACAUCACUGUCCUCACUUUGUAAAACAAAAUGUAACAAAUAAAUAAAUAGCUAUAAAUUUACUGAAUUAUUUAUUAUUAAAAUGAUAAAUCAUGCACUGGAAACAUGGUAAAAAAUCUU